rnacentral:rRNA from 1 species
UAUGCUUUGGGGAGCUGUAAGUAAGCUUUGAUCCAGAGAUUUCCGAAUGGGGAAACCCAGCACGAGUUAUGUCGUGUUAUCUGCAUGUGAAUACAUAGCAUGCAAGAAGGCAGACCCGGAGAACUGAAACAUCUUAGUACCCGGAGGAAGAGAAAGAAAAAUCGAUUCCCUGAGUAGCGGCGAGCGAAACGGGAAGAGCCCAAACCAAUAAGCUUGCUUAUUGGGGUUGUAGGACACUCUGUACGGAGUUACAAAAGAAUUUGUUAGACGAAUAACCUGGAAAGGUUAAUCAUAGAAGGUAAUAAUCCUGUAGUCGAAAACGAAUUCUCUCUUGAGUGGAUCCUGAGUACGACGGAGCACGUGAAAUUCCGUCGGAAUCUGGGAGGACCAUCUCCUAAGGCUAAAUACUCUCUAGUGACCGAUAGUGAACCAGUACCGUGAGGGAAAGGUGAAAAGUACCCCGGAAGGGGAGUGAAAGAGAACUUGAAACCGUGUGCUUACAAGUAGUCAGAGCCCGUUAAUGGGUGAUGGCGUGCCUUUUGUAGAAUGAACCGGCGAGUUACGAUCUGAUGCAAGGUUAAGCAGAAAAUGUGGAGCCGUAGCGAAAGCGAGUCUGAAUAGGGCGAAUGAGUAUUUGGUCGUAGACCCGAAACCAGGUGAUCUACCCUUGGUCAGGUUGAAGUUCAGGUAACACUGAAUGGAGGACCGAACCGACUUACGUUGAAAAGUGAGCGGAUGAACUGAGGGUAGCGGAGAAAUUCCAAUCGAACUUGGAGAUAGCUGGUUCUCUCCGAAAUAGCUUUAGGGCUAGCCUCAAGUGAUGAUUAUUGGAGGUAGAGCACUGUUUGGACGAGGGGCCCCUCUCGGGUUACCGAAUUCAGACAAACUCCGAAUGCCAAAUAAUUUAACUUGGGAGUCAGAAUGUGGGUGAUAAGGUCCAUAUUCGAAAGGGAAACAGCCCAGACCACCAGCUAAGGUCCCAAAAUAUAUGUUAAGUGGAAAAGGAUGUGGCGUUGCCCAGACAACUAGGAUGUUGGCUUAGAAGCAGCCAUCAUUUAAAGAGUGCGUAAUAGCUCACUAGUCGAGUGACACUGCGCCGAAAAUGUACCGGGGCUAAACAUAUUACCGAAGCUGUGGAUUGUCCUUUGGACAAUGGUAGGAGAGCGUUCUAAGGGCGUUGAAGCAUGAUCGCAAGGACAUGUGGAGCGCUUAGAAGUGAGAAUGCCGGUGUGAGUAGCGAAAGACGGGUGAGAAUCCCGUCCACCGAUUGACUAAGGUUUCCAGAGGAAGGCUCGUCCGCUCUGGGUUAGUCGGGUCCUAAGCUGAGGCCGACAGGCGUAGGCGAUGGAUAACAGGUUGAUAUUCCUGUACCACCAUUAUUCGUUUUAAGCGAUGGGGGGACGCAGUAGGAUAGGCGAAGCGUGCUGUUGGAGUGCACGUCCAAGCAGUGAGAUUGA